rnacentral:lncRNA from 1 species
UCCAUUCUAUUUUCCCUAUAAAUAAGAAGCUAGGUUGGGCCAUUUGUGAGUUUUUCAAUUGCCAACUUAGAUUAUUUGAGAGAGAAAGUGUAGCGUCCCCGAAUCCGGGCCCCGAAUCGCCGCGGAUCCGGUUUGCUAAUUUCUACAACUUUUUACUUUAGAUAUAAACAUAAAUUGUUUAUACAUUAAACUUUACACACUAUUCCCAAAAUC